GUGGUUUUCUGGUGGUGAAUAGGUAGUUCAGUGGAAUACAUGAGCCAACGAUGGAGAAGUCACUCAAAAGGUUGAAAAGAGAGAAACCAAAUCAUCAUGCCUCACCUGGUUACAAAAAGAGUUACAUUGAAAUUUCCACAGCCUCGAAAGAACUUAAAGACCCAAACCCCACAGCCGUCCGUGGUAAAACAUUCCACAGAUUCACCAGCCUCUGAGAGAAGAAAUUCCUCUACGUC